UACGUAGGGGGCAAGCGUUGUUCGGAAUUACUGGGCGUAAAGGGCGCGUAGGCGGCAUGGCAAGUCGGGAGUGAAAGCCCGGGGCUCAACCCCGGAACGGCUUUCGAAACUGCCAAGCUAGAGUACGGAAGGGGCAACUGGAAUUCCCAGUGUAGCGGUGAAAUGCGUAGAUAUUGGGAAGAACACCGGAGGCGAAGGCGGGUUGCUGGGCCGAUACUGACGCUGAGGUGCGAAAGCGUGGGGAGCAAACAGG
rnacentral:rRNA from 1 species